GACAGAGGGUGCAAACGUUGUUCGGAUUCACUGGGCGUAAAGGGUGCGUAGGCGGUCGGGUAAGUCUGAUGUGAAAUCUCACAGCUUAACUGUGAAACUGCAUUGGAUACUAUCCGGCUCGAGGAAUGGAGGGGAGACUGGAAUACUUGGUGUAGCAGUGAAAUGCGUAGAUAUCAAGUGGAACACCAGUGGCGAAGGCGAGUCUCUGGACAUUUCCUGACGCUGAGGCACGAAAGCCAGGGGAGCAAACGGG
rnacentral:rRNA from 1 species